UACGUAGGGCGCGAGCGUUGUCCGGAUUUAUUGGGCGUAAAGCGCGUGUAGGCGGCCAGAUAGGUCUGCUGUGAAAACUCGAGGCUCAACCUCGAGCUGUCGGCGGAAACCAUCUGGCUAGAGUCCGGAAGAGGAGAGUGGAAUUCCUGGUGUAGCGGUGAAAUGCGCAGAUAUCAGGAAGAACACCUAUGGCGAAGGCAGCUCUCUGGACGGCAACUGACGCUGAGGCGCGAAAGCGUGGGGAGCAAACAGG
rnacentral:rRNA from 1 species